GGGGGGAUAUUGCACAAUGGGCGAAAGCCUGAUGCAGCGACGCCGCGUGGGGGAUGAAGGUUUUCGGGUUGUAAACCUCUUUCGCUAUCGAACAAGGCCCGCUUAGGGUGGGUUGAGGGUAGGUGGAGAAGAAGCGCCGGCUAACUACGUGCCAGCAGCCGCGGUAAUACGUAGGGCGCGAGCGCUGUCCGGAAUCAUUGGGCGUAAAGGGCUUGUAGGCGGCUUGUUGCGCCUGCUGUGAACACGCGGGGCUUACCUUCGCGCGUGCAGUGGGUGCGGGCAGGCUGGAGUGUGGUAGGGGUGACUGGAAUUCCAGGUGUAGCGGGGGGAUGCGCAGAUAUCUGGAGGAACACCGAUGGCGAAGGCAGGUCACUGGGCCAUUACUGACGCUGAGGAGCGAAAGCAUGGGUAGCGAACAAG
rnacentral:rRNA from 1 species